AUGGUGCUGGGCCUCCGUACUAAGACAAAGAAGGAUGCUGCCAUCCAUGUAGACUUCAACAUCUUCAUCCAGGAGAUAAGCCCAUGGCCCCCUUCUGAAUCCCUCAAGUCUUUGCGUUCUGCGGUUCUUUUUUGGGAAAAUGGUGAGCGCAAUUCAGGGAAGACAAACACCGUUGCACCUUCAGUCUGCUCAGGUUCCACAGCGGGGAAGAUCGAAUUUAACGAGUUCAUAAGCAUACAGGUUGUUUUUCAGAAGGAGGGCUCAUCGAAAAGUGGAAAGUGGCAAAAGAACUUGCUUGAGUUGAAUUUAUAUGAACCAAGGAGGGAUAAGCUGAAGGGGCAACAUUUGGGAACUGCAACACUAGACUUGGCAGAACAUGCACUGUUUCUUGAGGACACUGUUGUUCCGGUGCCUCUCAACUCGAAGAGAAGCUUUAAAAGUAAUGCACAUCCUAUGGUUUAUCUUCGAAUCCAGCCAUUGGAUGGGGACAGCUCAAGUGUUUCCUCGAGAGAUGCAUUACCAAAAGAGGCAUCAGCUGAUAAGGAUUCAAAGGACUUCAUGUCUGCAACAAUGAGUGAGGACUACACUGAGGAUGCUGGGUUUGCUUCCUUCACCGAUGACGAUGAGGAAGGAACUCCAUGUCCGUACCACUCAGAUGGAAAUGUGCAUACAGGUAGUAAUAGAUCUCAGGACUCUGUCAAGGGGAAGGAUGCCAGGGUAUUUGGCAAUGAAGGCACCAGCUCAUCAUUAGAUUCCCAGCGUGAAGUGCCAUCUUCCAGUACAAAAGUGCGGAGUGAAGAAGUUGAAAAGCAUCCAAUUCAAAUGCAAAAGACAACCAUCCAUCCAGGGACAGAUUUACCGGGAGAAGAAUCUCCAUCUAUUCCACAACACAAUGCUCUCAGAACUGGUCGUAAAAUGUCUUUUGCUUAUGGUAUGGCUGACUCCAACCUGAGGCAAUUUGGCGAGAAAACUUACAGCACUUUAAAUAGUGAUAGAGCUAAGAAUAUGAGGUUUAGUAUGAGACUUCCAGAUAUUAAUGGAAGCACCAUAAGUAAGAAAGUUGAUUCCCAGAAGGAAGAAGUGAAGGAAGUUGAUUCAGAAGAUAUCUUGAUCGCUCAUGAUACUAAGAACAGUGCUGUUAAUGGAAUGCAAGCCCAGGCACCAGUGCGUAUUUCGAAUAAUAGAAGUGACAACAAAAUUCGAGAACUUGAACGUAAGGUUGAGUUGCUUGAAACUGAGCUGCAAGAAGCCGCUGCUUCUGAGAUAGGCCUUUAUUCUGUGGCUGCUGAACAUGGUAGCUCGGCAAACAAGGUCCAUACACCUGCACGAAGGCUCUCUAGGCAUUUUGUUCAUGCAUUUAAAAACUGUCCGAGAGAAAAGAUGGGAAGUGCAGCAAGAAGUGCUUCCUCUGGGCUGGUUUUUGUUGCAAAAGCUUGUGGAUACGAUGUCGCAAGGCUGAGUUUCUGGUUGUCGAACUGUGUGGUGCUGCGAGCAAUUGUUACUGAAACUUCUAAGCAAUCGGACAUUGGAAAUGACAUUAAUGCUACUGAUUAUAGUUCAAAAACUGCACCGAGGAGAAAUUCCGCAUCGAUGUGGGAAUCGCUUAAUCGGAAGAAAGGGAAUUUCCUUUCACCUGAGUUUGAUAACUGGGAAGAUAUUGAUACGUUUAUAGCUUCACUAAAGAAGAUUGAAUCAUGGAUAUUCUCACGGAUUGUAGAGUGCAUUUGGUGGCAGGCAUUUACACCACAUAUGCAAUCUGCUUAUAUCAGUACUAAAUCAAUGACUGGUUUGAAUGCAAAGAAAUGUUACGGAAGGAUUACUGUUGUGGGCAAUCAGCAACAAGCAACCUUGUCAAUAGACAUAUGGAAGAAGGCUUUCAAACAGGCAUCAGAGAAGAUUUGCCCUGUAAGGGCAGCUGGACACGAGUGUGGGUGCCUGCCUAUGUUGGCCAAGUUGUUGAUGGAACAGUGUAUAGCUAGAUUGGAUAUAGCAAUGUUCAAUGCUAUUUUGCGGGAGUCAGAAGAUGAGAUACCGACAGAUCCCAUUUCUGACCCAAUAACUGAUCCUAAGGUUCUUCCCAUCCCAUCUGGGAAGUUUGGCUUCGGUGCUGGGGUCCAACUGAAAAAUGCUAUCGGCAGCUGGUCCAGAUGCCUUACUGACUUGUUUGGUAUGGAUAUGGACGACUAUCCAGAAGUUGAGAAUGGGGAUGGUGAAAAUGGCAUUGCUGAAACCUACAGACCCUUCUAUCUUCUAAAUGCAUUAAGUGAUCUCCUAAUGAUCCCUAAGGAUGUGCUCAUGGAAACCAGUACCAGGAAAGAGAUUUGUCCCACCUUUAGUUCAUUGAUUGUCAGGAGCAUACUUGUUGGCUUUGUACCAGAUGAAUUUUGCCCAGACCCAAUUCAAGAUUCCUUGCUUCAGGCUCUAGAAUUGGAGGAUCAUCUGGAGAGCAGUGACAAGGGCAUACGGGCGAUACCAUGCAGUGCUUCACCCAUCUUGUACUCUUACCCUGCACCUGGCACAAUCCUAAGCAUCAUUGGUGAUCCUAGGAAGAGCGGAUUGGCAGUCCUCCGCAAGUCUAACACGAGUGAUGACGAGCUCGAUGAGCUGAGCUCGCCAUUGAGCUUCAUCUCCAAGGCGCCAACGAAUCCGCUUGCCAAGCUGAAGCAGAUCAGCGGCUCAAACACGGUGAGAUACAGGCUCCUCCAUGAGGUGUGGAAGCUAGACGACCAGUACUGA
rnacentral:rRNA from 1 species